rnacentral:rRNA from 1 species
AGUGAACGCUGGCGGUAGGCCUAACACAUGCAAGUCGAACGGCAGCACAGUAAGAGCUUGCUCUUACGGGUGGCGAGUGGCGGACGGGUGAGGAAUACAUCGGAAUCUACUUUUUCGUGGGGGAUAACGUAGGGAAACUUACGCUAAUACCGCAUACGACCUACGGGUGAAAGCAGGGGAUCUUCGGACCUUGCGCGAUUGAAUGAGCCGAUGUCGGAUUAGCUAGUUGGCGGGGUAAAGACCCACCAAGGCGACGAUCCGUAGCUGGUCUGAGAGGAUGAUCAGCCACACUGGAACUGAGACACGGUCCAGACUCCUACGGGAGGCAGCAGUGGGGAAUAUUGGACAAUGGGCGCAAGCCUGAUCCAGCCAUACCGCGUGGGUGAAGAAGGCCUUCGGGUUGUAAAGCCCUUUUGUUGGGAAAGAAAAGCAGCAGGUUAAUACCCCGCUGUUCUGACGGUACCAAAAGAAUAAGCACCGGCUAACUUCGUG